UGAAGAGGUGAUACUUAGGUUGAGCUCUAAAUGACAAGAAGGAACUAGCCAAGGGAGACUCCGUGAAACGGCAGUUCAGGCAGAGGGAACAGCUAGUUCCAAGGCCCUGAGGCUGGAAAGCACUUGGUGAGUUUAAGGAGCAGAAAGAAGUCCAGUGUGGCUGAAGCGGAGUGGGCAAGAGAGCAAGUGCUGUGAGACCGGAGCAGAGAGAGGUUUAGCCUUUUUUCUAACAAUAACGGAAGUACUAAUGGGUUUUAAACAAGAGGAUAGCAAGGCCCAAUUUGCAUAUUGAAAGCUCACAUUGGCACCGGUGUGAACAAGAGAGCAGGGGAUGGGGCACAAGUGGAUGUGGAGAAACCAGUCAGAAGCUACUGCAGAUGUCCAGAUGGGGGCGUUAGGACUUAGAUUCAGGGCAUGGGGGAGACGGAGAUAAGUGCAUGGGUUUAGGCAUGUUUAGGAGAUGAAAAAUCAAACAGGACUUGGUAGUGACCUGGAUGUGCCCUCUGGUUCUCUUCUUUCAGGCUUUGGAUUCGUUAACGGAACGGAACCUAAGAUUCCAGGUGAACUAUUAAAGUGCCCCUACCCUACCCUUCCUAUAGGUUUAGGGAUUGUUUUGUUUUCUUUUGUUUUGUUUAUUUCCACACCCAUUUUCCAGACAGUGCCACAAAAUACAGAACCAGAGACGGAGCAAGUUUACGCCGUGGGGAGGAGGCCUUACGAGUAUGGAAAUAGUACUUAGAUGUAAAGGGGGCUGUUCUCCUCCUGAACACAGGCCACAUCUCUGAGGUUAGCACAGCAUUUCUAACAUCCCAGCACAAGACAGACAAAUGCCAUGUGCUGGGGGCCAGAUCCCCAUCCCCAGGCAGACUGUCGCCUCAGAAGACAUCCCCCCAGGGAGAGCAGCUAUCUGUGCUGACUGGAGGAUUGCCUGCCCCUCCCUCUUGAGAAAGCACAGCAGAUGCUUUUUAUAUAAUGUCUAAUUACUCCAAGGAAUGUCAUCAUUUUUAUGAUUAAUCAGUUGCAUACACUCAGGGACAUACGUGAGGUGCACAUCCAAAGAUAAUAGAAGACCCUGCAGAGAGGAGAUAAAUUGAGUCCAGCCCCUGUGGCCAAUUGUUAGAGAGACAGAUUAACUGUCCAUAUUACAUAAAUAUCUCACCAUGUAGAUUAUGGCCGAAACAAGGACUAUUUUAACCUAAAUUCACUGUGAAACAAAUCUAUUUUUAAAUCCUACAGGUUAUGUAAAUAGUAGGGGAAAGUUGUAAAUAAUAAAUAUCUCCUUGACAGAACUCAAAUAAUAAUGAGUUAGGGAGCCUGCAACUGUGAUUAUUACUCAGAAAACAGUACCCAAUAAAUAAAAAAUAGCUUUUGGGCUUAAAAGGAUUCUUCCAAGAAGGAAUCAGAUCAAGCAGGAGUAUUCUGUGCUUUGUACGGCCCGGCUCAGAUGUCAACCUCUUUGUGAAGUUUUCUCUGAUCUCUCGGGCAGAAGUAAUAGGCCUCUCCUCCACGCCUUACGGCCCUCAGCAGUGGGUAGCGGAAUUAUUUAUCAUGGUGAGUCUGUGUGAUGAUUCUCUUCAAUUUCAGUACCUAGCAUACUACGCAGCUUCCUUCUCAUUCUGGAGCCUUAAAGGGGAUGCCAAUAUGAAAAGCACUCAUAGUAAUUGAGCUGGCAGCUGCUAACACUUCUGGAACAGGCAUGGGGCCAGGCACUAACCCCAUGCAAUCAUUCCUUUAAUCCUCAUAAUAACCCUAAUGAAGUAGGUACCGUCAAGAUGAGGAAACCAAGCAAAAGCAAUGUGUCCAAGGUCACACUGCUAGUAAGUGGAAACAAUUGGGAUUCUAAUUCAGCCAGUCUGACUCUGCCACCUCCCAGACUGGGGCAAAAAGGUAAAUCACUGGCUUGGGUGUCAAAAUACCUGGGGUCAAUUCUUUACCUGGUAGUUUACAAACUGUGCUCUCCCAUCAUGCCGCAUGCUCUCCCAUCACGCCACAAGCUCUCCCAUCAUGCUACAAGCUCUCCCAUCAUGCCACGUGCUCCCCCAUCAUGCCACAAGCUGUCCCAUCAUGCCACAUGCUCCCCCAUCAAGCCACAAGCUCUCCCAUCAUGCCACAAGCUCUCCCACCAUGCCAUAUGCUCCGCCAUCAUGCCACAUGCUCUCCCAUCAUGCCACAUCCUCUCCCAUCAUGCCACAUGCUUUCCCAUCAUGCCACAGCACAGUCACUAGUGCAAGAGAAACUCAUUCUGUCUUCUGCUACAUUACCCUCUUCCUUAUACCUUCUACAUACAUUUUGCGUUCCAGGGACAGUAUCUUUUUAUGGGUCAGUUGCUUGGAACCACUUACAAUUUUCAGGCUGACCUUUCUGAAACAUUACACAGUGAUAAACAAAUCAUUUCCUUUGGACUCAGGGGGGGUUACAAUUUGAAAUUCAAUUUUUUUGGACACUAGGUCAACUACCAAAAUGGUACAAGAGCAUUUGCUCCUUUCAGUUGCUCCCUUUGAAUAUGAGGCCAUUGUGACCUGUGCUGUCUUAGAAAUCUAUUAUGAUGUAAAAUUUUAAUGGUUUUUUAAAAAUCUUGACACGUUUUGCUGAUGGGUGUUUUGACAUCCCAGAUUGGUUACCUCCACCCAGAAUGAGGGAAAGAGCUUGUAUUCAGAGCAGAGAAUGGAGAAUGACAUCCUCUCCAUGACUGUUUUCCCCCAAGACCUCCAGGCCCUCACUUGCGAAGAACAUUCCUCUUCUCAGGUUUGAGGACCCGAUUGCCUUAUCAUGGGGGUCCUUUCCGCCUCCUCCCCUGCUCCAGAGAAUCCCUGAGUCCUCAAGCCUCUCCCCAUUCUCCUGUCAAAUCUGCUGGAACCACAAGCAUCUCAGCCACCAGGACCAGAAGUCCGUCUGGCCAGAACGAGGAAGUGCUGUGUUGGUUGAGACACUCCAGGUGGCCAUGCUCUGUUGGUGCCCAGUGUCAACAUCUAGGAAGUCAGGAACGCCUUCUCCAGAGCCCUGAAAUCACAGUUAUGAAAAAAGUGCCUGUUGGUCUCAUCUGAGUCAAGGAGUUGAAGGUCCAAGAGAGGGUGGUCUGAGGAAUAGAAACCCAGCUUGCUGCUCAACUCCUUCAGUAAGAUUGGGCCUUAAGACUCUUCCUCUGGUGCUGUUGAAUCUCUUCCUGAGUAGCUGCAGCCUGGGGAAUCCACCAUCAGAGGUGGCAUCACUCCAAAGUUAGAUGGAUCCUGUUCUGCAUGCCCCAGAUCUCACCUUUCCAAAGUUCCAGAGAGAACAACCAGCAUCCAUAUCAUCACAGCAUAAACCCCCAAAGCGCCAGAGUUUAGAAGACACGAUAACAUCCCAGAGCCAAAUGCAACCACCAGAGGAGCCUUUCCUCUGAGCCCCAGUGCCCUUGGUCUGGGGCUGCAAAGUUAGAUGCCUAAACUGGUGAUGCAAUAAGGGGUGGUGGGGACUGACAAACCAGAGAGCACCCAUCCCAUCAAAAAGGAAGUUCAAUUUUUUAAAAUACUCCAUGGACUAAACUCAUCAGAAUAUGCCCCCUAGGCCACCAGUGAACAUUGGGCAGACAAAUGUGCUUCCCUGGGAAAAGCUUAGACCCACACCACACUAUUGUGGUAGAAUUUUUGCUAUCACAUAAAGCCACUAUCUGGGGAAAUGUGAGAUGGAAGACAGAAGAUAGAUGCUCCAGGGCUUUCCCAGGGUGCUAAUAAAUUCAUCCCAACUAGCCAGAGCAUCUCAUUUCAGAGCUUAACACGCUAUUAGAAGAAAUGUCCCCCGUGAUCAAUUUCACACACAGAUUACCACAACCUGCAGAGGGGGUACUGGAAAUCCACCAUCCACAUAGGCUUCCUUCUCUCAGAAACUCCC